CCUACGGGAGGCAGCAGUGGGGAAUAUUGCACAAUGGGGGAAACCCUGAUGCAGCGACGCCGCGUGAAGGAAGAAGGAUUUCGGUAUGUAAACUUCUAUCAGCAGGGAAGAAAAUGACGGUACCUGACUAAGAAGCCGCGGCGAACGACGUGCCAGCAGCCGCGGUAAUACGGAGGGGGCAAGCGUUAUCCGGAUUUACUGGGGGUAAAGGGAGCGUAGGCGGUUCAGCAAGUCAGAAGUGAAAGCCCGGGGCUCAACUCCGGGACUGCUUGUGAAACUGUUGAACUAGAUUGCAGGAGAGGUCAGUGGACUUCCUAGUGUAGCGGUGACAUUCGUAGAUAUUAGGCGGCACCCCAGUGGCGAAGGCGGCUUACUGGACUGUACCUGCCGCUGCUGCUC
rnacentral:rRNA from 1 species